rnacentral:sRNA from 10 species
CAAGAAAAAUUAUGGAAAUUUCAAGGAAUCAAGCAAGAUAAGGUGGUGAGCUAUUUGAUAAGGAUAAAGAGAUUACACCAAAGACCGUGACUAGGAGUAUUUCUACCCCUGAUACUAUAAAGAUUUUAUAAAUCAGGUGGUAGAUAAAAUAAUCCAUAAUUCCUGCAGAGGAGGUUCUAUGGACCAGCCUAAGAAAGGGGGCACAGAAUCAGAUAUACCUUACCUCGAUCGGAGAGCCGUGUGGAGGGUGUCUCUGAAGGUAAAGAUUUGAGUGCACUUCACGUGGACCACCGCGUGAGAGUGAGACUCAGCCAACGCUAAGGCAUGGCUAGAUUUUCAAAUGUAAAAAUAUGUUCAUGUGUGUACUACACUAAACAGUCUUGGCGGUCUCGAUCAGAUGCCUAGGCUAAGGCAUCCCCGAGAAUGAUUUUGGCAGGAGCCAAGUCUUGUGAAAUACAUAAGCCAAGUUGACUAUUUGAGUAAAUUGAUUAUUGAUGUUAUGAAAAACAUACUGGAAUGGAAUAUCUUACUUGUCUCCAUUUACUCGACUUUAGAUGGUUUAGAUGGUAUCUGUUUAGUCACUGGGAUUUUAUAAUCUCACCACCCUCAAUUCCCCACAUUUCAGGUUUGGGAUAGUCGGUAAAUAGUCGAUUGCAUCAGGGACUUCAGUUAGCCUUGCAUUGACAAAAUUGUAGGUUCACAGACUUGCACCUUAUUGGUUA